rnacentral:rRNA from 1 species
UUGAACGCUGGCGGCAAGCCUAACACAUGCAAGUCGAGCGGUAACAUUUCUAGCUUGCUAGAAGAUGACGAGCGGCGGACGGGUGAGUAAAGCAUAGGAAUCUGGCCAAUAGAGGGGGAUAGCCCGGAGAAAUCCGGAUUAAUACCGCAUACACUCUAUGGAGAAAAAGCAGGGGAUCUUCGGACCUUGCGCUAUUGGAUGAGCCUAUGUCGGAUUAGUUAGUUGGUGGGGUAAAGGCCUACCAAGGCGACGAUCCGUAGCUGGUCUUAGAGGAUGAUCAGCCACAUCGGGACUGAGACACGGCCCGAACUCCUACGGGAGGCAGCAGUGGGGAAUAUUGCACAAUGGGCGCAAGCCUGAUGCAGCUAUGCCGCGUGUGUGAAGAAGGCCUUAGGGUCGUAAAGCACUUUCAGUAGUGAGGAAAAGUGUUGUGUUAAUAGCGCAAUGGUGUGACGUUAGCUACAGAAGAAGGACCGGCAAACUCCGUG